AUACAUGCAAGUAGAACGCUGACUACUUUAACUUGCUAGAGUAGAAGGAGUUGCGAACGGGUGAGUAACGCGUAGGUAACCUGCCUACUAGCGGGGGAUAACUAUUGGAAACGAUAGCUAAUACCGCAUAACAGUGUUUAACACAUGUUAGAUGCUUGAAAGAUGCAAUUGCAUCACUAGUAGAUGGACCUGCGUUGUAUUAGCUAGUUGGUGGGGUAACGGCCCACCAAGGCGACGAUACAUAGCCGACCUGAGAGGGUGAUCGGCCACACUGGGACUGAGACACGGCCCAGACUCCUACGGGAGGCAGCAGUAGGGAAUCUUCGGCAAUGGGGGCAACCCUGACCGAGCAACGCCGCGUGAGUGAAGAAGGUUUUCGGAUCGUAAAGCUCUGUUGUAAGAGAAGAACGUGUGUGAGAGUGGAAAGUUCACACAGUGACGGUAACUUACCAGAAAGGGACGGCUAACUACGUGCCAGCAGCCGCGGUAAUACGUAGGUCCCGAGCGUUGUCCGGAUUUAUUGGGCGUAAAGCGAGCGCAGGCGGUUUAAUAAGUCUGAAGUUAAAGGCAGUGGCUUAACCAUUGUUCGCUUUGGAAACUGUUAAACUUGAGUGCAGAAGGGGAGAGUGGAAUUCCAUGCGUAGCGGUGAAAUGCGUAGAUAUAUGGAGGAACACCGGUGGCGAAAG
rnacentral:rRNA from 1 species